rnacentral:rRNA from 1 species
GAAGGUGUGCUGUGAGGCAUGCUGGAGGUAUCAGAAGUGCGAAUGCUGACAUAAGUAACGAUAAAGCGGGUGAAAAGCCCGCUCGCCGGAAGACCAAGGGUUCCUGUCCAACGUUAAUCGGGGCAGGGUGAGUCGACCCCUAAGGCGAGGCCGAAAGGCGUAGUCGAUGGGAAACAGGUUAAUAUUCCUGUACUUGGUGUUACUGCGAAGGGGGGACGGAGAAGGCUAUGUUGGCCGGGCGACGGUUGUCCCGGUUUAAGCGUGUAGGCUGGUUUUCCAGGCAAAUCCGGAAAAUCAAGGCUGAGGCGUGAUGACGAGGCACUACGGUGCUGAAGCAACAAAUGCCCUGCUUCCAGGAAAAGCCUCUAAGCAUCAGGUAACAUCAAAUCGUACCCCAAACCGACACAGGUGGUCAGGUAGAGAAUACCAAGGCGCUUGAGAGAACUCGGGUGAAGGAACUAGGCAAAAUGGUGCCGUAACUUCGGGAGAAGGCACGCUGAUAUGUAGGUGAAGUCCCUCGCGGAUGGAGCUGAAAUCAGUCGAAGAUACCAGCUGGCUGCAACUGUUUAUUAAAAACACAGCACUGUGCAAACACGAAAGUGGACGUAUACGGUGUGACGCCUGCCCGGUGCCGGAAGGUUAAUUGAUGGGGUCAGCGCAAGCGAAGCUCUUGAUCGAAGCCCCGGUAAACGGCGGCCGUAACUAUAACGGUCCUAAGGUAGCGAAAUUCCUUGUCGGGUAAGUUCCGACCUGCACGAAUGGCGUAAUGAUGGCCAGGCUGUCUCCACCCGAGACUCAGUGAAAUUGAACUCGCUGUGAAGAUGCAGUGUACCCGCGGCAAGACGGAAAGACCCCGUGAACCUUUACUAUAGCUUGACACUGAACAUUGAGCCUUGAUGUGUAGGAUAGGUGGGAGGCUUUGAAGUGUGGACGCCAGUCUGCAUGGAGCCGACCUUGAAAUACCACCCUUUAAUGUUUGAUGUUCUAACGUGGACCCGUAAUCCGGGUUGCGGACAGUGUCUGGUGGGUAGUUUGACUGGGGCGGUCUCCUCCUAAAGAGUAACGGAGGAGCACGAAGGUUGGCUAAUCCUGGUCGGACAUCAGGAGGUUAGUGCAAUGGCAUAAGCCAGCUUGACUGCGAGCGUGACGGCGCGAGCAGGUGCGAAAGCAGGUCAUAGUGAUCCGGUGGUUCUGAAUGGAAGGGCCAUCGCUCAACGGAUAAAAGGUACUCCGGGGAUAACAGGCUGAUACCGCCCAAGAGUUCAUAUCGACGGCGGUGUUUGGCACCUCGAUGUCGGCUCAUCACAUCCUGGGGCUGAAGUAGGUCCCAAGGGUAUGGCUGUUCGCCAUUUAAAGUGGUACGCGAGCUGGGUUUAGAACGUCGUGAGACAGUUCGGUCCCUAUCUGCCGUGGGCGCUGGAGAACUGAGGGGGGCUGCUCCUAGUACGAGAGGACCGGAGUGGACGCAUCACUGGUGUUCGGGUUGUCAUGCCAAUGGCACUGCCCGGUAGCUAAAUGCGGAAGAGAUAAGUGCUGAAAGCAUCUAAGCACGAAACUUGCCCCGAGAUGAGUUCU